AAAAAGAAAACUAAAAUAAUAAUAAAAGAUCCGUUGGAUUACCCAAAAGAAACCCAGCCGCCUGGCUGUUGGGUUCUAGAGGUUAAUGGAUUGGGAACUCUAAAGAAAAUUAACAAUCAUUAAUAUACAUUAUAUAUAUAAAAAAAAGGGAAUACUAAACAUAUUAUAUUUUUUAUGGUUUUUUAAUAACUUAAAGGUUUGUUUGGUUUAAACUAAAUAAAAUAAAAAAACAAAAAAAACAAAAGCAACAGCAACGAAUUGCUUCAUCGUCCUCCUCUCUCCCCAUCUCACUCGCAUCUUUCCGUCUCUCACAUGAAUCCCUCUCUCGCUCUCGACGAACCCCUCUCAAUCACUCUC
rnacentral:lncRNA from 1 species